CUACGGGUUGCACCAGUCGAGAAUAGUCUACAAUGGACGAAAGUCUGAUAGUGCGACGCCGCGUGGAUGAAGAAGCAUUUCGGUGUGUAAAGUCCUUUUCUGUGUGAGCAAUGUUUUCCAGGUUAAUAGCUUGGAGAAAGCGAUAUUAACACAGGAAUAAGCUCCGGCUAACUCCGUGCCAGCAGCCGCGGCAACACGGGGGGAGCAAGCGUUGUCCGGAAUUACUAGGCGUAAAGGGUAAGUAGGCGGAAUUGUAAGUCAGAUGUUAAAGGCACCGGCUCAACCGGUGUAUGGCAUUUGAUACUGUAAUUCUAGAGUAAGGUGGGGGAAGACGGAAUUCCUGGUGUAGCGGUGGAAUGCGCAGAUAUCAGGAGGAACACCAGAGGCGCAGGCGGUCUUCUAUACCAUUACUGACGCUCAAUUACGAAGGUGUGGGUAUCAAACAGGAUUAGAUACCCCCGUAGUC
rnacentral:rRNA from 1 species